rnacentral:tRNA from 1 species
GCCUGGCUGGCUCAGUCGGUAGAGCAUGUGACUCUUGAUCUUGGGGCUGUGAGUUCAAGCCCCAUGUUGGGUG